rnacentral:rRNA from 1 species
GAUGAACGCUGGCGGCGUGCCUAAUACAUGCAAGUCGAGCGAAUGGAUUAAGAGCUUGCUCUUAUGAAGUUAGCGGCGGACGGGUGAGUAACACGUGGGUAACCUGCCCAUAAGACUGGGAUAACUCCGGGAAACCGGGGCUAAUACCGGAUAACAUUUUGAACCGCAUGGUUCGAAAUUGAAAGGCGGCUUCGGCUGUCACUUAUGGAUGGACCCGCGUCGCAUUAGCUAGUUGGUGAGGUAACGGCUCACCAAGGCAACGAUGCGUAGCCGACCUGAGAGGGUGAUCGGCCACAGUGGGACUGAGACACGGCCCAGACUCCUGCGGGAGGCAGCAGUAGGGAAUCUUCCGCAACGGACGAAAGUCUGACGGAGCAACGCCGCGUGAGUGAUGAAGGCUUUCGGGUCGUAAAACUCUGUUGUUAGGGAAGAACAAGUGCUAGUUGAAUAAGCUGGUACCUUGACGGUACCUGACCAGAAAGCCACGGCUAACUACGUGCCAGCCGCCGCAGUAA